AGCAGAGAUGCCUAGGUUGUUUUUUAUUUAUUUAUUUUUGAACUGUUGAAGAGAAGGCUCAGGAUGACGAGUGAGGACUGGAGAGAGGAUCUUGGCCAACUCGGCUUUGACAGCGCCUCCAGUUUCCUCAAGAAACAGAACUGAAUGAUGCUCCUCUGGUAAACCUUGUGCCACCACUGCUUGCAGACGUGAAUAGUGAAGACGCAGGAAACUACAUGGUCAAGCAAGACUGUGACCCAUUCUGGCUGUGAACACCGACAGAAGAGCUGAGGAGCCCUACGCACGAUACCACAAAUAACCCCUGGGAAGUCUUAACCGACCUUGAUAUUUGAUCUGGCAUGGUAUAAUCCUGGUUCAUCCCCGAGGCAAGAUCAUCAUGAAAACUAAAUGUUUAGAAUCAAUUUAGGACACUGAGGCAGCAGUGAUAUCACCACUGAAGACACUCAUGAAAGAAGACUUCAAAAAGUGUCAGG